GGUUAAGAGGAUCCGUCAGGCUUCGGCCGAAGCGGUGAAUUCAAGCCCCGGUAAACGGCGGUGGUAACUAUAACCAUCCUAAGGUAGCGAAAUUCCUUGUCGGGUAAGUUCCGACCUGCACGAAUGGCGUAACGACUUCCCCACUGUCUCGACCAGGAGCUCGGCGAAAUUGCAGUACGAGUAAAGAUGCUCGUUAAGCGCAGAAGGACGAAAAGACCCCGGGACCUUUACUAUACCUUGGUAUUGGCAUUCGGUGUGGAUUGUGUAGCAUAGGCGGAAGGCUUCGAAGCCACGGCGCCAGCCGCGGUGGAGCCGCAAGGUGAAAUACCGCUCUGUUCGCAUUGGAUGUCUAACCUCGACCAGUCAUCCUGGUCAGGGACAGUGCCUGGCGGGUAGUUUAACUGGGGCGGUUGCCUCCCAAAGAGUAACGGAGGCGCUCAAAGGUUCCCUCAGCCCGGUUGGCAAUCGGGUGGCGAGUGUAAGUGCACAAGGGAGCUUGACUGCGAGACUGACGGGUCGAGCAGGGACGAAAGUCGGAACUAGUGAUCCGGUGCCGGUGUACGGACGCGGCAUCGCUCAACGGAUAAAAGGUACCCCGGGGAUAACAGGCUGAUCAUUCCCAAGAGUCCAUAUCGACGGGAUGGUUUGGCACCUCGAUGUCGGCUCGUCGCAUCCUGGGGCUGGAGCAGGUCCCAAGGGUUCGGCUGUUCGCCGAUUAAAGCGGCACGCGAGCUGGGUUCAGAACGUCGUGAGACAGUUUGGUCUCUAUCCUCUGCGCUCGUCGGAAUGUUGAGGAGGCCUGCCCAUAGUACGAGAGGACCUGGGUGGACGAACCUCUGGUAUGCCGGUUGUCACGCCAGUGGCACGGCCGGUUGGCUACGUUCGGAAGGGAUAACCGCUGAAAGCAUCUAAGCGGGAAGCCUGCUCCAAGAUAAGCAUUCCAUAGGACUACGGGUCCUUGAAGUCCCCAUGCAGAACACGUGGUUGAUAGGCCGGACGUGGAAGCCCCGCGAGGGGUGGAGCCGACCGGUACUAACGGACGAAAGGCAACACAAC
rnacentral:rRNA from 1 species